ensembl:snoRNA
UUGCAUUCUUAAACCCUCUUGGUGGCUUCCCUCUAAAUGCUUCCAAGAUAUGAGCGAAUGCUAUAGAAAUUGCAGGGAAGUCCAAAGGGCUGCACGUCUCCUGUGGACUCAGUCUUAUUUCAUACCUGCGACAUCU